rnacentral:lncRNA from 1 species
GUGCUCCCUUCUAAGGCUUUUGCUUCUCUCUAAUAACGAAAAAAUAACUCUUUCAGAAAGCAAAGCUACAACUCUUCAGUCUAAGCUAUCUAAGCUAGAACUUAAGGCCGACCUCUUUCUUUUCCAGGGAUACCCCACUUCCCGGUCUAGCUUCACUAUGUCACAUUUGAUUUUCUAGUAUUCCUACGGGGCCUUAUUAUUUCGAAGAGUCAUCCUAAUCCAUGUUGCUAAUGUUCCAGUCUUCAAACAAGAACUAGGGGGCUCGUUCGACCUGGCGCUGGCUAGACAUGAGGUCGAACAUGCCCCGUUUCGCCCUAUUGAAACUAACCUGAGUGUCCAAAUAUUGU